GCUUCCGUAGCUCAGUUGGUUAGAGCUUCGUACUAAUACUUCCCCUAUCGGGCAAGAAUCAGUGAUGCGAGUAAACUCUCACAUGCUCCCCCGAACUCUCGCUUUCUUACCAGGUCGCAGGUUCAAGCCCUGCCGGGAGCA